rnacentral:rRNA from 1 species
AGUACAGUGGCGUACGGGUGAGUAACACGUGGAUAAUCUACCUCUUAGUGGGGAAUAACCCUGGGAAACCGGAGCUAAUACCGCAUAAGCCUGGAAAGGGAAAGUCGCAAGACGCUGAGAGAGGAGUCCGCGGCCGAUUAGCUAGUUGGCAGGGUAAAAGCCUACCAAGGCAUUGAUCGGUAGCCGGCCUGAGAGGGCACACGGCCACACUGGCACUGAAACACGGGCCAG